rnacentral:rRNA from 1 species
GACAGAGGUGCCAAGCGUUAGGCGGAAUCACUGGGCUUAAAGCGUGUGUAGGCGGAUCGUUAAGUGCCUUGUGAAAUCCCCCGGCUCAACCGGGGAACGGCUGGGCAGACUGGCGGUCUUGAGUCACUCAGGGGCAGCCGGAACAAAUGGUGGAGCGGUGAAAUGCGUAGAUAUCAUUUGGAACGCCAACGGCGAAAGCAGGCUGCUGGGGGUGAUCUGACGCUGAGACACGAAAGCCAGGGGAG